rnacentral:misc_RNA from 1 species
CUGUCUCUCUCUCUGUCUCCUCGGUCUGUUCAGUACGCUGUGUUAGUUGCGCUGGUCACAUAUCUUAGUAGCUUGAAUUUAGAGCGAACAUGCGCGUCUUCGGUGGCGGUCACGCAUGGCUCCGAGCUCGAAGUGACGCUGGUAUUAAGGAAUAUUGGUGGAGCUGUGGACACAGACAACGUGCGCCGGUUCACGGUUCAAUUUUUCAUAGCUGCUCACGCUGAAACGGAGCAACAAUAUCUCAAGCCACAAGUUUGAUUUCUCCGGCCAUCACGACUUUUUUAUAUAUUCAUAAUCAUCAGGAAUAAAUAUGAACACAUAAAGCU